GGUCAAGCAAAUAAGCGCACACGGUGGAUGCCUUGGCGAUAAGAGGCGAUGAAGGACGUGGUAGUCUGCGAUAAGCCUCGGCGAGCUGACAAACUAGCUUUGACCCGGGGAUUUCCGAAUGGGGAAACCCACCCGCUUUGCGGGUAUCUUGCGCUGAAUACAUAGGCGCAAGAGGCGAACCCGGGGAACUGAAACAUCUAAGUACCCGGAGGAAAAGAAAUCAACCGAGAUUCCCCCAGUAGCGGCGAGCGAACGGGGAACAGCCCUUAAGCUUUGCAAGUUCUAGUGGAAUGUUCUGGAAAGUUCGGCCAUAGACGGUGACAGCCCCGUACACGAAAGGGCUUGCAAAAGUGAAAUCGAGUAGGACGGAGCACGAGAAACUUUGUCUGAACAUGGGGGGACCAUCCUCCAAGGCUAAAUACUCCUUAUCGACCGAUAGUGAACCAGUACCGUGAGGGAAAGGCGAAAAGAACCCCUGUUAGGGGAGUGAAACAGAACCUGAAACCGUGUGCGUACAAGCAGUGGGAGCCCGUUUUCGGACGGGUGACUGCGUACCUUUUGUAUAAUGGGUCAGCGACUUACAUUUUGUAGCAAGGUUAACCGCAUAGGGGAGCCGCAGAGAAAUCGAGUCUUAAUAGGGCGCUUAGUUGCAGGAUGUAGACCCGAAACCGGGCGAUCUAGCCAUGGCCAGGUUGAAGGUCGGGUAAUGCCGACUGGAGGACCGAACCAACUUAUGUUGAAAAAUGAGUGGAUGAGCUGUGGCUAGGAGUGAAAGGCUAACCAAGCCCGGAGAUAGCUGGUUCUCCCCGAAAACUAUUUAGGUAGUGCCUCGUGUUUCACUUCCGGGGGUAGAGCACUGUAAUGGCUAGGGCCGCAUCUCGCGGUACCAACCCAUUGCAAACUCCGAAUACCGGAAAGUGCAAUCACGGGAGACAGACGGCGGGAGAUAAGUUUCGUCGUCGAAAGGGAAACAGCCCAGACCGCCGGCUAAGGUCCCCAAACACGUCUCAGUGGGAAACGAUGUGGGAAGUCUCAGACAGCCAGGAUGUUGGCUUAGAAGCAGCCAUCAUUUAAAGAAAGCGUAACAGCUCACUGGUCGAGUCGUCCUGCGCGGAAGAUAUACCGGGGCUCAAGACGUGUACCGAAGCCGCGGGUGCGUGCAUUCUUCGGAGUGCGCGCACGGUAGGGGAGCGUUCCGUAGCCCGUUGAAGGCGUGCCGUGAGGCAUGCUGGAGGCAUCGGAAGUGAGAAUGCUGACAUGAGUAGCGACAAUGCGGGUGAGAGGCCCGCACGCCGAAAGCCCAAGGUUUCCUGCGCAACGCUAAUCGGCGCAGGGUGAGUCGACCCCUAAGGCGAGGCCGAAAGGCGUAGUCGAUGGGAAUCAGGUUAAUAUUCCUGAACCGAAUAUAACUGCGACGGGGUGACGGAGAAGGCUAGGUCGGCCGGGUGUCGGAUAUCCCGGUUUAAGCGUGUAGGUUGGGAGCCCAGGAAAAUCCGGGCUUCCUUAAGACUGAGACGUGACGACGAGCGCCCUAACGGGCGCGAAGCGAUUGAUGCCAUGCUUCCAGGAAAACCCUCUAAGCUUCAGGUUGUAUUCGAUCGUACCCCAAACCGACACAGGUGGGCGGGGAGAGAAUCCCAAGGCGUUGAGAGAACUCUGGUGAAGGAACUCGGCAAAAUGACACCGUAACUUCGGGAGAAGGUGUGCCUCCGGUAGGUGAAGGGCUUCGCGCCCGGAGCCGAUGGGGGUUGCAACAAAGAGGUGGCUGCGACUGUUUACUAAAAACAUAGCACUCUGCAAACUCGCAAGAGGAAGUAUAGGGUGUGACGCCUGCCCGGUGCCGGAAGGUUAAGUGAUGGGGUUAGCCCUUGGGCGAAGCUCUUGAUCGAAGCCCCGGUGAACGGCGGCCGUAACUAUAACGGUCCUAAGGUAGCGAAAUUCCUUGUCGGGUAAGUUCCGACCUGCACGAAUGGCGUAACGAUGGCCACACUGUCUCCACCAGAGGCUCAGCGAAAUUGAACUCGCUGUGAAGAUGCAGCGUACCCGCGGCUAGACGGAAAGACCCCGUGAACCUUUACUACAGCUUCACACUGGACUUUGAGCACGCAUGUGCAGGAUAGGUGGAAGGCUUUGAAGCGGAGACGCCAGUCUUCGUGGAGCCAACCUUGAGAUACCACCCUUGCUUGUUUGGGGCCCUAACCGAGGCCCGUGAUCCGGGUCCGGGACCAUGUGUGGCGGGUAGUUUGACUGGGGCGGUCUCCUCCCAAAGAGUAACGGAGGAGCGCGAAGGUGCUCUAAGUGCGGUCGGAAAUCGCACGGCUAGUGCAAAGGCACAAGAGCGCUUGACUGCGAGACAGACACGUCGAGCAGGUGCGAAAGCAGGUCUUAGUGAUCCGGUGGUUCUGUAUGGAAGGGCCAUCGCUCAACGGAUAAAAGGUACUCCGGGGAUAACAGGCUGAUACCGCCCAAGAGUUCACAUCGACGGCGGUGUUUGGCACCUCGAUGUCGGCUCAUCACAUCCUGGGGCUGUAGCCGGUCCCAAGGGUAUGGCUGUUCGCCAUUUAAAGUGGUACGCGAGCUGGGUUUAGAACGUCGUGAGACAGUUUGGUCCCUAUCUGCCGUGGGCGCCGGAGACUUGAGAGGAGCUGCUCCCAGUACGAGAGGACCGGAGUGGACGUACCUCUGGUGUUCCGGUUGUGAUGCCAAUCGCAUUGCCGGGUAGCUAUGUACGGACGGGAUAACCGCUGAAAGCAUCUAAGCGGGAAGCCCCCCUCGAGAUUAGGUCUCCCCGGGGCCUUGCGCCCCCUGAAGGGUCGUUGAAGACUACAACGUUGAUAGGCUGGGUGUGGAAGUUCAGCAAUGAAUGAAGCUAACCAGUACUAAUUGCCCGUGCGGCUUGACCAU
rnacentral:rRNA from 1 species